GGGGGUGUAAUAUAACGGUAGUAUUUUAUUCCUGCACAAUAAGUGAGUGGGUUCGAUUCCCACCACCUCCA
rnacentral:tRNA from 1 species